rnacentral:tRNA from 8 species
GGCGACGUGGCGGAGUGGUUACGCAGCGGCCUGCAAAGCCGUUUACACCGGUUCGAUUCCGGUCGUCGCCU